rnacentral:rRNA from 1 species
CUUGGUUCAGGAUGAACGCUAGCGACAGGCCUAACACAUGCAAGUCGAGGGGCAGCACAAGGAGCAAUCUGAGGUGGCGACCGGCGCACGGGUGAGUAACACGUAUGCAACCUGCCUGUAAGCGGGGAAUAACCCGUUGAAAGACGGACUAAUACCGCAUAAUACUAAAUUACUGCAUGGUAAUUUAUUUAAACAUUUAUGGCUUACAGAUGGGCAUGCGCAUGAUUAGCUAGUUGGAGAGGUAACGGCUCCCCAAGGCAACGAUCAUUAGGGGUUCUGAGAGGAAGGUCCCCCACACUGGUACUGAGACACGGACCAGACUCCUACGGGAGGCAGCAGUGAGGAAUAUUGGUCAAUGGACGAGAGUCUGAACCAGCCAAGUCGCGUGCAGGAAGAAUGUCCCUAUGGAUUGUAAACUGCUUUUGCAGGGGAAUAAAGUGCAUCACGUGUGAUGUUUUGUAUGUACUCUGCGAAUAAGGAUCGGCUAACUCCGUGCCAGCCGCCGC